UACGGGGGGGGCAAGCGUUGUUCGGAAUUACUGGGCGUAAAGGGCUCGUAGGCGGCCAACUAAGUCAUACGUGAAAUCCCUCGGCUUAACCGGGGAACUGCGUCUGAUACUGGAUGGCUUGAGAUUGGGAGAGGGAUGCGGAAUUCCUGGUGUAGCGGUGAAAUGCGCAGAUAUCAGGAGGAACACCGGUGGCGAAGGCGGGUCUCUGGGCCGAUACUGACGCUGAGGAGCGAAAGCGUGGGGAGCGAACAGG
rnacentral:rRNA from 1 species